rnacentral:ncRNA from 1 species
UAAAAGUUUAGUCCUAACUUUACUAUCAACUCUAGCAGUGCUUACACAUGCAAGUGUCCGCCCCCCUGUGAGAAUGCCCUUAGAUGCCCUAAGGUACUAGGAGCUGACAUCAGGCACACCUAACCCCAAGCCCAAGACGUCUUGUUUAGACCACACCCCCAAGGGAAACCUGCAGUGAUUAACAUUAAGCCAUGAGUGAAAGCUCGACUUAGCUAAAGCUAUUAGGGCCGGUAAACCUCGUGCCAGCUACCGCGGUUAUACGAGGGGCCCAAGUUGAUAACAAACGGCACAAAAGGUGGUUACGUAAAAUACUAAACUAAGGCUAAACGCUUUCAAAGCUGUUAUACGCUCUCGAAAGUAUGAAAACCAAUUACGAAAGUAGCCUUAUGAAAUCCGAACCCACGAAAGCUAAGAAACAAACUGGGAUUAGAUACCCCACUAUGCUUAGCCCUAAAAUUUGAUUUAAAACAUAUCUAAUAUCUUCUGCCUGGCAACUACGAACACUAGUUUAAAAACCAAGGGACUUGGCGGUGCUUAAAAUCCACCUAGAGGAGCCUGUUCUAGAACCGAAAAUCCCCGUUAAACCUCACCCCCUCUUGUUAAACCCGUCUAUAUACCACCGUCGUAAGCUCGCCCUCUUAGGGACCAGUAGCAAGCAAAACCGGCACAGCCCCAAACGUCAGGUCGAGGUGUAGCGUAUGAGGGGGGAAGAAAUGGGCUACAUUCCCUAGCACUUAGAGUAUACGGAUGGCAAAUUGAAAUAUCUGCCUGAAGGAGGAUUUAGUAGUAAGCAGGAAAUAGAGAGUUCUACUGAAACUGGCCCUUAAGCGCGCACACACCGCCCGUCAAUCUCUCCAAAAACAUUGAAUUAAACAAUAAAUAAGAAGCCAAAACAAUACCUGGAGGUGAGAAAAGUCGUAACAUGGUAAGUGUACCGGAAGGUGUACUUGGAACAAC